GUUCCUACAAUGAAUAUGCUACAGCCAACAUACACCUCAAAAUUCUGAAUGGCUAGGAGACCGAGUUAUGGAGUAGUCAAACUAUAACACACUCAAAGUGAACUGUCGAUGUACCUCAGGUCAAAGAACUAGACACACAGCUGCAGCAUCGAGCUAGUCAUCGACGAGAAGAUAGACUUCCUUAUGACUGCUCGAGGUGGUCACGCUCAGUAC
rnacentral:lncRNA from 1 species